UACGUAGGGGGCAAGCGUUGUCCGGAAUCAUUGGGCGUAAAGCGCGUGUAGGCGGCUUGAUAAGUCUGCUCUGAAAGCCCGGGGCUCAACCCUGGGAGGCGGGUGGAUACUGUCGAGCUCGAGUCCGGAAGAGGCGAGUGGAAUUCCUGGUGUAGCGGUGAAAUGCGCAGAUAUCAGGAGGAACACCGAUGGCGAAGGCAGGUCUCUGGGCCAUAACUGACGCUGAGAAGCGAAAGCAUGGGGAGCGAACAGG
rnacentral:rRNA from 1 species